ensembl:lncRNA
AUUUAUUGGAUUUUAGGUUUUGGGGUACAUGAGCAGAGCAUGCAAGACAGUUGCGUAGGUACACACAUGGCAGUGUGCUUUGCUUUUCUUCUCCCCUUCACCCACAUUUGGCAUUUCUCCCCAGGCUAUCCCUCCCCACCUCCCCCUCCCACUGGCCCUCCCCUUUUCCUCCCAAUAGACCCCAGUGUUUAGUGCUCCCCUUUCUGUGUCCAUGUGUUCUCAUUUUUCAUCACCCACCUAUGAGUGAGAAUAUGCGGUGUUUCAUUUUCUGUUCUUGUGUCGGUUUGCUGAGGAUGAUGUUCUCCAGAUUCAUCCAUGUCCCUACAAACGACACAAACUCAUCAUUUCUGAUUGCUGCAUAAUAUUCCAUGGUGUAUAUGUGCCACAUUUGUCCAAUCCAGUCUGUUAUCAAUGGGCAUUUGGGUUGAUUCCAGGUCUUUGCUAUUGUAAACAGUGCUGCAAUGAACAUUCGUGUACAUGUGUCCUUAUAGUAGAAUGAUUUAUAGUCUUUUGGAUAUAUAUCCAGUAAUGGGAUUGCUGGGUCAUAUGGAAUUUCUAUUUCUAAGGCCUUGAGGAAUCGCCACACUGUCUUCCACAAUGGUUGAACUAAUUUACACUCCCACCAACAGUGUAAAAGUGUUCCUUUUUCUCCACAUCCUCUCCAGCAUCUGUUGUCUCCAGAUUUUUUAAUAAUCGCCAUUCUAACUGGCAUGAGAUGGUAUCUCAAUGUGGUUUUGAUUUGCAUCUCUCUGAUGACCAGUGAUGAUGAGCAUUUUUUCAUAUGAUUGUUGGCCUCAUAUAUGUCUUCUUUCGUAAAAGUGUUCCUAUUUCUCCACAUCCUCUCCAGCAUCUGUUGUCUCCAGAUUUUUUAAUGAUCGCCAUUCUAACUGGCGUGAGAUGGUAUCUCAAUGUGGUUUUGAUUUACAUUUCUCUAAUGACCAGUGAUGAUAAGCAUUUUUUCAUAUGAUUCUUGGCCUCAUAUAUGUCUUCUUUUGUAAAGCGUCUGUUCAUAUCCUUUGCCCAUUUUUGAAUGGGCUUGUUUUUUUCCUGUAAAUCUGUUUCUGUUCUUCGUAAAUUCUGGAUAUCAGCCCUUUGUCAGAUGGGUAAACUGCAAACAUUUUUUCCCAUUCUGUUGGUUGCCGAUUCACUUUAGUGACUGUUUCUUUUGCCGUGCAGAAGCUGUGGAGUUUCAUUUUUGAAUGGGCUUGUUUUUUUCCUGUAAAUCUGUUUCUGUUCUUCGUAAAUUCUGGAUAUCAGCCCUUUGUCAGAUGGGUAGACUGCGAAAAUUUUUUCCCAUUCUGUUGGUUGCCGAUCCACUCUAGUGACUGUUUCUUUUGCCGUGCAGAAGCUGUGGAGUUUCAUUAGGUCCCAUUUGUCUAUUUUGGCUUUUGUUGCCAAUGCUUUUGGUGUUUUGUUCAUGAAGUCCUUGCCUACUCCUAUGUCCUGGAUAGUUUUGCCUAGAUAUCCUUCUAGGGUUUUUAUGGUGCCAGGUCUUAUGUUUAAGUCUUUAAUCCAUCUGGAGUUAAUUUUAGUGUAAGGUGUCAGGAAGGGGUCCAGUUUCUGCUUUCUGCACAUGGGUAGCCAGU